UUGAUAAUAUUCUAAACAAGGCAUGGAUUAUCUGUGUCUUCCCUUUUUAGACCAUAUAGGGUGACUUCCUGACGUUGCCACGGCAUUUGUAAACUGUCACGGCACUGGUGGGAGUGUAGCAGAGAGGACAACCAGAGGUCACUCUCAUCACCGUCUUGGUUUUGGUGGGUUUUAGCCAGCUUCUUUACUGCAAUUUGUUUUAUCAGCAAGGUCUUUAUGACCUGUAUCUUGUGCCAACCUUCUAUCUCAUCCUGUGACUUAAAACACCUCAACCACCUGGGAAUGCAGCCCAGUAGGUUUCAGCCUCAUUUUACCCAGCUCCUACUCACGAUGGAGUUGUUCUGGUUUACACGCCUCUGACAUAACGACUCAUGUCUUAGAAUGCAUCUCCAUCGUUUGAUCAAGACAUUACUUUAGUUGGGUAGAUAAGGCUUAAAGGAAGAACCAUGGAAUAGUGCAGGAUCUCUGGAAACUUUCUUCCAAGAGGACUUUAAACUUACUCUGGCGUCUACCAGUGUGGGGUGAUUUUAGAUGUGGAAUUGCUGAUUGUCCCCAGCCCAGAGCCAGGGACACAUGGAUGGAAUGGUUCUACCUGCCAAAAACACUUUAAAUUUCUAAAGUUUGAGCAGAAAAUCUCAUUCAUUUGUGACCUCAAGAGAGCAGUGAAGCAUGCCAGCUCAUAAGGGCUUGCCUAGUCCCAGGUGCAUUCCGAGGAGAGUAGCGCAAGCUGUUCAAGAGCUCCGGAGCCCACGCCCAGCCACAAGGAUGGAUGUGUCCAUGGUCCAUGAACUUACAGCAACCCUUUCACAUGCAAAAGCAUUUUAUUUUCAGGCUUUAAAUGGAGGUACUAAAAACAGUGUUAAAAGCGGGGAACACUUAAGAAGUGCAACCUUUUAUUCUGAAUAACAAUUAGGAGCAGUUAGGUAUUUAAAUCAGCUAAAAUUUUUCUUUUGUAGGAACACUGCAAAUGCUAUACAGCACGUGCUUUUAAGAAGAGUGAUGGGUGGGUACCAACAAUAAGGAAGUGCUAUCAUUCAUUAUCUUUCAAGAGUGCAUCCAUUUCAGAUAUAAUGCACCUGUAGUAACAAUGCUGCACUUUAGAAAGACAUCUUUCAUCUGAAAAACACACACCUCACUCUUUCUGUAGGCAGCCUUGUUCUGUGUGUGCGAAAUGGACAUAUUUUUACAGGUUCUUGUGGGGCAAACAUUAGAUACUCUUUAAAGGGUUAACGUUUAUUACGAAGGUCUAACAGAUUAGUUUCUGUUGUGCAAGAAAUCGAGAAGCUAGUGUGGGUUUUGAAAAGGGUGCAUGUGAAGCUCUGUGUGGUGAGAUGAAAACAUUUCUGGAUAGAAGGGCAGCUGGGACCCCAGGCUGGUGGUAGAGUUUGCCAUCUCCUCAUUCUACAUUCUGCCAUGCUUUGGAAGGCUUUCAGAACAUGGUGAGGACAUUUUCUGUUGUUGUUGAUCGAGGAUCUCUGAAUCUUGGAAGGUACCAGCCUUGAUUAUGGGCAGAAAAAGUGAAAUGUCUUUCAAGGUAUGGUUUUGUUAUCUGGACUCAAGAAAAUGCUUAUGUAAAUCCCACCCCCACGAGAAGGAAGGAAAUUGAGGGAGUAUCUGUUAAGAUGCAUCAUAUGGAGUCCUUGGUUUCAGGCCUGAUUUUGCCACUCCUACCCCACCCAUCCACCCACCCACUUCCUUCCCCACUCUCAGGAGAGUCACAGUAACCAAUUUGGGGUUUGUAUUUAACACCUGCAAAUCUUGGCUAACAGGCCUCCCUCUUUUCUCCUUCACCACCACCCUCCCUCUCAUCGAUCCAAACAUUUUAGUCAGUGCUUCCCAAAUCAUACCACUGAAAAGAGGGGAAACCCUUCUUGCAUCCAUACUGCAAAGACCUAAAAUGUUUGUUUUCAGCUGUCCUACUUGUAACCUUUCAGCAAAUCUUGAUGAUGCUUUUGAAAAUAAGCUAAACCUAGCCUCUCACAAAUGUGUUGAGGCCUUGCUCUGCACGCAUGAGUGGAACUCCAUGUAGAAGGCCCACCUCCUUAGCUGUAAUAACAAUGAGAGCCUACUAGGAGCCAGAGGCUGCGCUACUGAAUGUUUUCCAUGAUGCGAUUUAAUCUUCAAAUGUACUCACAAAAAAGAGAUAGUAUUGUAGGAUUUUCUCCUUAGUUCAGCUAACAGCCGGGUCCUUGACACAUGGCCAUGAAAUACUAGGCUCACAGACACUUUGAAGGGUGAGAAUAAUGAAAUUUACAGAGCGGAAAAGAAAAAAGGGAAACAGGGACUCUCUGCAAAGCCAAGGUCCUGCUAGUGCGGCUUCCCACCUCGCAGAUUGAAUGCCAGGUUCCACCCAGGAAGGGGAGGGGCCAGGCUCCUCCUAGCUGCAAAUGGGGAAGUUCCCCAUGCUCCACCCCGGUGUGCAUUCCUCCCAGUGUGCAGGUGUCCGCGAGCCUGAUCUUUCUCGGUUGUGUGACAAGAACCUGACUUUUCCUGCAACACAAGGGAUCCAAACACAGUGAAAAACAGAAGAGCCACAAGAGACAAACAAAUGCAAAUGAGAAAUAAUUCUGCACCCUUUUCCUGCUGCUGCUUAUGUUUUCCUGCUGCUGCAUAGGAAGGGGCACUUCCUAUGCCCCUAUUUUUCUAUUUAACCUCAGAGGAGAGGCACUUUGAGGUUUUCCAAGCUCUCGUCCUGUCUACGCUUUGGGCGCUGAACAGGGAGGGGACCGUGAUGCCAUGCGUGGCCAACAGCAAUGGAUGCCAAGCAAGGCUCGUGGCAUAAGACGGACUCGAGGUGAGGGCACUCCCAACCACGCAGGUGAAAUACACACAUUCGAAGACUGCCCUAGUGGGUGUGUGUCCAAGUGCAGAAGCACAUAGCAGGGAGCCCACUUAAAUCCUGCCCUCCAGGAUCACAAGAAUCACAAGAUGCCAUAGUUCCAAAUUGAAAUGGAGGUGGUGUCAGGUAGCUUGUCUAUGCACUGAGGGAGGGAGGUGGCCUAGGCCUUUGAUGAAAAUGGGCAGAGCAGCAAGAUAGAGUUUCUAGUGACUCUAUGAUGGGAGACUGGGUGACCUCCAAUUCUUUUCGCCAGUGGAGGGCUUGAUAAAAUAAAAAUGCUAUGGUUUGAGUGUAUCUCAGACAAGGGCCAUAAACGAUGUACACUGCGCAUGGUUAGGUGACACUUUAACAACUGACACUUGCACAUCAAGUGAAGGCGUCCUUACGCUGCACAGCUACAUAGAAAAAUAUGGAAUGGUAAAGAAGAAAGAAGAACCGUGAGCAGGAGAACCAUUCCAUUUUAUUCCUUAUAUGUACAAACAUGAAUAAUUUGACAUGAUGUUUAGACAGUUUCCCCCUAACUUAAGUCUUUUAAUUAAAAUGAAAGGAAGAAAAUACGCUUUAAAUAUGAAUGCGAGAAGGUGUGAGUUGACAGCCCCCAGCCUUCCUACUCUUCUCUCGCUGUUGUUAGCAAGCACAAUAAAAUCUCAUCUUCUCCUGUCGUCUUUUCAUAAUGUUUAUGGUUGUUUUAGGUAACACAUAAACCAUACUGAAUGUGAUAUUCCCCUUAUUACAUGUCAGGGGCACAUAUUAAACUAGAGCCUGUCCCUUAUUCUGCUAUUUACUUUUGUGGCAAAUCAAUGUAUUUUCCUUGACUCACUAGGCAAUAUUGCAAGGCUGCCUGUGGCCAGGAAGGUAAAUGCUAACUUUUCAGCCUGCGCCAAGUGGCACACCCUCGGCUCACUACCGAGUGAAUGAGAGCAGUAUAUUCUGGACUGAAAAAUGGGCUCGGAUGUUGGCCCUAAUAAAUUACAUGAUUAUUAAAAUGCUGUGCAGUUCCUGCCCAUAUUAUUUUAUUUUACCUCUUGCUGUCUCCCCCUCGUUGCCUGCCCCACUUUACCUCUGUUUUCUGUGUGCUUAACUUGUAAAAUGCUAAACAAGUUUUGAUAUUUACCUGUUUAUGAUUAAAUUGCAAAAUGAUCUGCUUAGUUCUGUUCUAAAUUAAGGUCUGCAUUAAAUGUCAUAGCAUUUAUCUUUCAUAAAAUGAGACAGCAAGGACACUAAUUUCCUAGGUAUUCAAUCACUGCCCUGUGCCACUGGAGAGACAGCCCAGGAGCAAGCCUGCCCACAGUUCACAGCUCACUGACAGCCCUGAGAUGGAAUAAUAAAAGUCAAUUAAUCAUUAAAAGCUGUUACAAGCACAUAUCGAACCAGUCUGGCACAAAAUGUUAAUCAGUCCAA